rnacentral:lncRNA from 1 species
AUGCUUUACGUUGAAUACCAGGAGUACGUUAUGAAAAAAAUCAUGUACAAGCACAGGGCACAAAAAGGGAGAAGGUCCACCUUCAAUCGGAGUCCCCCACCUGAUCCCACAUGCCAACCCCAGAGAAAACACCUACGCGGCCUGCUGGACUCUCUGGGUAUUUUAUUUUAUUUAUUUAUUUAUUUAUUUUUACUCUUUUUUACUUUUUUAUUUUUUGGCAGCAUACGGAGUUCCCCAGUGAGCUUCAGCUGUGGUAACUCCAUAUCCUUUAACCCACUUCGAUGGGGAUCAAACCUGCAUCCUGGCACUGCAGAGACACCACAGAUCCCCUUUUGCCACUGCGGACACUCCUCUGGCUAUUUUAUUUUAUUUUGCUUUUUAGGGCCACACCUGUGGCAUAUGGAGGUCCCCAGGCUAGGGGUCGAAUUAGAGCUACAGCUGCCAGCCUACACCACAGCCACAGCAACUCGGGAUCCGAGCCACAUCUGCAACCUACACCACAGCUCAUGGUAACCCCAGAUCCUUAACCCACGGAGCAAGGCCAGGGAUCGAGCCCACAACCUCAUGGUUCCUAGUCGGAUUCAUUUCCACUGCGCCAUGAUGGGAACUCCUCAUCUGGCUAUUUUAAAAGUAUACUCUAGGGGUUCCCUGGUGGCACAAUGGGUUAAGAGUCUGGCAUUGUCACUUUUGUGGCUUAGGCUGCUGCUGUGGUGUGGGUUUGAUCCUUGACCCAGGAACUUCCUUAUGCACAGGCAAGGCCAAAAAAAAACAGUGUGUUUUAGAGAAACUCCGAAAGCAUGAUGCUACAUGAAAGCCACCAGUCACAAAAGAACACAUAAUGUGUGCUCCUAUUUCUAGGAAGUAGCCACGAUAGGCAGAUCUAUAGAGACUAUGUAUAGGAAGGGGAUUAGUGGCUGCCAGAGGCUGAGAGGGAGCUGGAAAUAGGAAGCGACUGCUAAUACAUACAGGAUUUCUUUGGGGAUAAUGAAAAUGUUAUAAAAUUGGAGUUACUGUCAUGGUGCAGCGGAAACAAAUCCGACUAGGAACCAUGAGGUUGUGGGUUUAAUCCCUGGCCUCGCUCAGUGGGUUAAGGACCCAGGGUUGCCAUGAGCUGUGGUGUAGGGCACAGAUGCAGCUCAGAUCCUGCAUUGCUGUGGCUGUGACAAAGGCCAGCAGCUGCAGCUCCAAUUCAACCCCUAGCCUGGGAACCUCCAU